CAAACACCGCUCCCUACAAGUACUUGCCCCAUUCUCGAACCCAUAUCGAGAAGCAGAUCUUCCCCUAUCAAUCAACCUUGCCGUCCAUCUCAUCGAAGGUGAGGGGAAUACAUUUCGUGGUUUAACUCGAUCUUGUGUUCUUCCGAUGGCGUUGUUCUCUGCAAUCUUCUUGUUUUCGGUGAGAUUGGAUCAUUAACCAACUGCAUCAAUUCGCCAUCGUCAUCUGUUUGUUUGAGCCUCCUGAAGCUUGAAUAUGGAUAAGAUCGGUUGGCUAGACAUGGAUUUUUGUUCAUAUGUUCGGAUCCGCAUAUUACCAUUGCUUUAUGUUUAGAUAUAUGUUCUUGAUUUAUAGAUAUCUUAGGCCGGGGGUAAUGGUAUCUUAUGUUUGGAUACGUUUGGUGUGAUGCGUGACGAUCAUAUCUGUGGUGUCAUUUCUUUUGUGUCUAACGGGCGCUAUGGAAAACGGAGUUCGAUCUAGCAAUAUCUUGAUUCGUUGGUUUGAUUUCAUUAGCAGAACUUGAUCUGUUGGAUAUAUUUUUAUUGGUUAGUUUAUUAUUUGUGAUUAUAGUUGGUUUGAUACUCAUGUUUAGGGAAGAAGGCGUUGACAUCCUCGUUAGCCCAAUGUGGUCGUGACCCGUAUGUAUGGGAUUGUCUAAGUACCUCCGAGAUGAAAACAUUGAGCUUUCGAGAUGUCAUCAGUAUGAAAAUCGAAGUCGAAAGAGAUUUCUCGAUCUAAUUUUUUCGAUGCCCAAAUUAGUAACCCGAAAUAUAUGAAUGUGGACGUAAGUGGUCGAAAAAGGGAGGUAGCCUCUAAUCGUCUCUCCUUGGGCCUCUUGUCGAUGUGGGCGAUAAAAAAGGGGGGGGGGGGGAGGGGGCAGCCAAUAACUGUCUAUUUUGGACCCUUGCCCAUGUGUAGAUGGAUGGAGGGUGACUCUCGUCUUCUCCUUCCACCUUGGACUCUACGUGGUAGUUACAUGACGAAUGACGAUUAACUGAUGGUAUAAUCUCUAUCAUUUAUCCUCCCCCCGCAAGGGGUUAAAAGUGCAACGUUUAGUUCAUCUGGUAUGUUAAACUUAUACCUAUUUGAUCCAUUGUCGACCUGAUGAUAUGUUUAAUUCGUCCAGCACGUCUAGUCCAUCGCUCCUCAAGUUCGUCUGGGAUCGCCUUCCCCAACGUUGUUAGUGGUAAUCCAUUGUUAACUUGUCCCUCGUAUCAUCAGGGGAUGCACAUUGGUCUGACAGGGUAAGGUUUUUAGACUUUCAUGCCUCAAGUGGGGGUUAGGGGUCAGACUUCCCGACCUCCUCGCCUCGAGCAUGAAAGGGAGUACUCCGUUAGCUAAUCUUCAUCCGACAUGUAACUACCACAUGAUGCCCAGGGUGGAAGGAGAAGACGAAGGUCACCCUCCACCCGUCUACUCACAUGAGCAAGGGUCCAAGGUAGGUGGUUAUGAGCUGCCCCUCCCCGCUCCCAAAUUGUUGCCCACAUGAACAAGAGGCCAAGGGGAGGUUGUUAGAGGUUGUCUUCCCGUAAAAUAUUUCAUGAAAUAUUUUAUCCCUUUACGAUUAGGUAUACAAGCUCAUCUUCAACACAAUGAAAGGAGGCUUAUCUUUUUUUAUCGCUCACGUCCGUACUCAUACAUCUCGAGUCACUAACUUGGGCAUCGGAGAGACUAAAUCAGGAAAUCUCUUUCAACCUCGUUCUUCGUGUAGGUGGUAUCUCGGGAGCUUGACAUUUCCACUUCGAAGACAUCUCGGACAACCAUGCACAUACGAGUUCGAACUACGUCGAGCUGACGAGGACAAUAACUCUUAUAGAAAGUAAAUUAACCUAUCCAUUUUUUACUUACCCAAUUGAAUCAUGGAGUCCUUUGAGGAAAAAUGUCUGCUUGAAAAGUUGAUCCACAAUAUGAAUAUUCGCUUUUAAUAUUUAUCCUUUGAAAACAGAAAAAAGGAAAACAAAAAUCAUGCUAAUUAUUAGCUUGUUGAUUCCAUACUAUGGAUUUGCAUCGAGCACCAUAUGCUCCUCGUGGACAUUUCUUUUGCUACAUCUGUUCAAAUGCUUUUUUUCUUUACUAAUUGACUCUUGGUUGACUGUGACUUAGUAAGUUGAAAACGCUGAAGCGUCUUUAAUGUCUGAGCAAGAUUCUCUCUAUUUGGGAUCAGUCGGACUUGCUGGAGAAUAUUCUCCUCCGACAAGAAAAAGAGACAGCCUCUAUCAGGGAAGGUUUGGCUGCAUGCAUUACAGGCCUCCUCGGCAUCUCUCACCAACUCGGGGUUGCUACUUUACUCAGCCUCUUUUAAUUGAUGAGGCUUCUGUUGGUGUUUGCAAAGCAAAGGAUAAGAUUGUUGUUUCUGGUGCUUCCUUCCGUUGAAUAGGCUUAAUAUCUGUCUUUGCCAAUGAAUCAUCUGACAAAGAUGGCUUUGCUGAAUAUUGGUGCUUCAAACAGUGAUGAUGCCUUUCAUAGGCACAACCUGCUGAAGAUGAUAACCAAAAUUGAAGGCCAUGGCAAUGCCUAAGAUGAUAACCCACCUGAGCAGAAGAAGGGGGAGCAAAGGACAAGAAGGGAAUGAGGACGGCAGAAAAGAAUUGGUUGAAAGAAGGGGAAGCAGCUGAUGAGGAACAGAAGAAGCUGAAGAAGGAAUCAGAGAGGAAAGUAGCUGCCUCCACCAAAGAUGGAGCCUCAAAGGCCACUGCUGCAAGAAGAAGGUCGGUUGUGUCUCAGAUGAGGAUCGAUCAACCUCUCCUAUUGGCAGUCGAGAUGGUGAUGCCAGUGCUGCCGCUGAUAAUGACAACGAUGAUGUUCAAUGGAGGCAACUCAACAGUGUAUCCAGGAACAGCUGAGAUGGUUAUGCUCUCAAACCAAUGAGCCCACCCAGUAAAAGAGAACAGAAAAGGCAAGUAAAGGACUUUAACAUCGGCAGUCUGAAGCAUGAUGAGAAAACUGGUACAGGCCAAAAUGGUUCUCGAAUCAGCAAGCAUGACACAUUGCUUGCAGAAAUUAAGAGCAAUCCGAGCAAGGUGUCCACUCCCAACCAGCUUCAGACUUCUUUGGUUUCUCUUACUGGGUCUCCACAGGGAGUUAUGACCGUCCUCUUUGAAGCACUCUUUGAGGGAGCGGGGAAAGGCUUUGUUGCUGCUGCUGCUGUGCAAAGUGAAGAGUCCCAAGCUCCAUCUGCUUCAUGCUGUAGAAGGUGGAUGCUAUGAAGGAAGUCACUCUCGUUCUUAAGGUACUUUACCACGGUGAUGUUCUGACCAAAGAGACGAUAAUGAAGUGGUAUGAGGGAAGGUGCGCAAGAGCUCUCAGGUAUUCACAUAUGUGAAGCCAUUCGUGGAUUGGCUUUAUUACUACCAUCGUAGCUCAUAAGUAGCUCCGUUGGAAUCUGAAUGUUUCCGAAUUCUGUGAUUGUUGCUUGUAAUAAAGCUUCCUGAGUUGUGUGUUGAGUUUGUCUAUUUGAUACUUGAUGUCCUUCCAGGCUCUGUGGUGUGUUGAUCACAGCAAUUUGUAGUGUUCCAUUAUUAAUGAUGCUCGAGUUUUAAUCUCA